rnacentral:tRNA from 1 species
GCUUCCGUGGCGCAAUAGGCAGCGCGUUCGGCUGUUAACAGAAGGGUUGGUGGUUCGAGCCCAC